rnacentral:tRNA from 1 species
GCGGAUAUGGCGGAAUUGGCAGACGUGCCAGAUUUAGGUUCUGGUGUCCUUGACGUGGGGGUUCAAAUCCCCCUAUCCGCA